AGAGUUUGAUCAUGGCUCAGAGUGAACGCUGGCGGUAGGCCCAACACAUGCAAGUCGAACGGCAGCACAGGGGAGCUUGCUCCCUGGGUGGCGAGUGGCGGACGGGUGAGGAAUGCAUCGGAAUCUACUCUUUCGUGGGGGAUAACGUAGGGAAACUUACGCUAAUACCGCAUACGACCUACGGGUGAAAGCAGGGGACCUUUUAGGCCUUGCGCGAUUGAAUGAGCCGAUGUCCGAUUAGCUGGUUGGCGGGGUAAAAGCCCACCAAGGCGACGAUCGGUAGCUGGUCUGAGAGGAUGAUCGGCCACACUGGGACUGAGACACGGCCCAGACUCCUACGGGAGGCAGCAGUGGGGAAUAUUGGACAAUGGGCGAAAGCCUGAUCCAGCCAUACCGCGUGGGUGAAGAAGGCCUUCGGGUUGUAAAGCCCUUUUGUUGGGAAAGAAAAGCAGCCGGCCAAUACCCGGUUGUCCUGACGGUACCCAAAGAAUAAGCACCGGCUAACUUCGUGCCAGCAGCCGCGGUAAUACGAAGGGUGCAAGCGUUACUCGGAAUUACUGGGCGUAAAGCGUGCGUAGGUGGUUGGUUAAGUCUGUCGUGAAAGCCCUGGGCUCAACCUGGGAACUGCGAUGGAAACUGGCCGACUGGAAUGUGGCAGAGGGUAGCGGAAUUCCUGGUGUAGCAGUGAAAUGCGUAGAUAUCAGGAGGAACAUCCAUGGCGAAGGCAGCUACCUGGGCCAACAUUGACACUGAGGCACGAAAGCGUGGGGAGCAAACAGGAUUAGAUAC
rnacentral:rRNA from 1 species